AUGUACAUGGAUUCUACCAUUUGUACACAAUAAGCAUAUGAGUGGUGCUAUGGUUUUGUGUGUUGGCAAGUUCUAGGCUCGAUGCAUUGAAUGGUCAACCUAUCAUCCUCUUAAAUUUUCCCUAUAUGGUUAUCGUACCUUAGGGCAUAAUUGAGAUACUAAGCUGCAUAUUGACACUAAAAAGAGAGAGAGCCUUGUUUUGUUUGGACCUUGUCGUACCAUGGGGCACUAUCUGCAUGUUGGGUUGUUUGGGAGUACAACCUUAAUGGGGUGGUAAAUUCUAUCCAAGGCUGAAUAUAGGUGAGAGACCGAUAGCAAACAAGUAUCAUUUAGGAAAGAUGAAAAGGACUUUAAAAAUAGAGUAAAAAAGUGCUUGAAAUUGUUAGGAGGAAAGCGAAAGGAAGCCAGUGAUACACCCUGGUUGGAUGUAAAAUGGCGAGAGCUAGUUCGUUAAUUAGCUUAAGGUAUGGAUUGAUGUAGGUCAUGGUGGUGGCCUAAGCUUGGGCUUUUUAUAUACCUACCAUGAUCAUGGAAUACAGCACACACCAUUUUGACGUUGGCCUAUAGGUUCUUUAUGCGGCUUGCCUUGAAACAUAGACCAAGGAGUCUAACAUGUGUGCAAGUCAAUGGGCUAGAAAACGCAUAAGAUGCAAAGAAGCUAAUUGGCAAGAUCCCUCAUGGGUGCACUAUCAACCAACCUUAAUCUUCUAAACUAUACCUAAGUGAGGCAAAGGAAGAGAAAACUUUAUUGGAGGUUCGUAGUGAUACUAACAUGCAAAUCAUUCAUCUGACUUGGAUAUAGGGGUAAAAGGCUAAUCAAACCAUCUAGUAGUUGGCUCCCUACAAAGUUUCCUUUAAGAUAGCUAGAGCCUUUAGCAAGUUUUAUCAAGUAAACCCAAUGAUUAGAGGUAUUAGAGGCACAACACCCUUGAUCUAUUCUCAAACUUUAAAUAGGUAGAAAGGCAUGACUACUUUUAUGGAGGCACUCUAUAGAAUUAUGAGCCCCCAUAUGCCAUUUUGGUAAGCAAAAUUAGCAAUGUAGGAUGAAGUAGAAGCUAGGUUAUAAUGCCUAACUGCUCGCUAACCUAGAACCCAUAAAGGGUGUUGGUCGAUUAAGAUAGUAAGACAGUGUCAUGAAAGUUGAAAUCCACUAAGGAGUGUGUAACAACUCACCUACCAAAUCACUAUUCUUGAAAAUGGAUGGUGCUUAAGCACAUGACCUAUACUCAAUUGUUGGGACAAGGGCUAGGCCUCAAUGAGUAAGAUGGCAUGGGGGUCAUUACAAAACUUGAGGCACAAGCUCGAGUGAAGUGGCCAUUGGUGUAGAUCUUGGUGGUAGUAGCAAAUAUUCAAAUAAGAAAUUUAAAGGCUGAAAAAGGGAAAUGUUUGAUAUGAAUGGCACUUGCAUAUGGCUUAGUCAAUCAUAAAAAAUAAGGCAAGCCAAUCCAAUAGUGCAUCUAACACAAGCUUCAAAAAGGAAUUAGGUUAAAAUUCCUAAACUAGGGCAUGGUGGCUGAUGGCAACAUUAGAGAGUCUAGAGACAUCAAUGGAGGCCUCAAGAAGAGUUAUCUUUUCUAUUUAAUGGCUUACCCACCCUAGAAAUGACUUAACCAGAGGCAUGGUCUAGCAGUCAAAAGAGCACUACAUGUAGCAUAGUGUAUAGUGUGCGCCAAUAACCUUUGAAAAUCUAGAAGAUCAAUUACCAUCCAUACCCAAUUGUACUCAUAAUCACAUAGGUCUUAAAGGUGAACAACCUCUGGUUGAUGGACCAAUGUAGACAAGGGAAGUCAGCAAAAUAGGUCCAUAACCUUAGGAAAAAGGGUUGGCUCUAACGGCUAGGCACAGGGGUCCCAGUGCUGAACCUAUCAACUAUCAGUGCACUGCUUAAGCUACUCCUGUAAUAAGAGUAGAUCACUAUGUGCGAGCCAAGGGACAGAUUAGGAAUGGCUCCCUCAAGGGCCUUCUUGGGCAACGAACAGUUGACUCAGAAUUGGUACGAACAAGGGGAAUCUAAUUGUUUGAUUAAAAUAAAGCAUUGCAAUGGUCUUUACGGAUGCUUACACAAUGUGAUUUUUGCCUAGUGCUUUGAAUGUCAAAGUGAAGAAAUUCAACUAAGCACAGGCAAAUGGUGGGAGUAACUAUGACUCUCUUAGGGUAGCGAAAUGCUUUGUCAACUAAUUAGUGAUAUGUAUGAAUAGAUUAACGAGAUUCCCAUUGUCCCCAUCGACUAUCCAGUGAAGCCAUAACCAAAGGAAUGGGUUUAACAGAGUCUAACUUUGUGAAAUAAUGUGAGAGGUGUAGAAUAAGUGGGAGCCUUCGAGUGAAAUUUAAAUACAACUACUUUUAAUGUUCUUUUACUUAUUCUGUGAAUUGGAGGUGAAGCAUGACCCUUUCUUUUGGACUCAAGGCUGGUCUUGAUUGAUCGAUACAAGUGGAAAACAUUGUCAGGUAGGGAGUUUUGCUAGGCUAACACAUCUAUUAAAAGAUAACAUAGGUGUCCUAGGAUGAGCUCAACGAGAAUAGAAAUCUCAUGUGGAAUAAAAAGGUAAAAGCUCAUUUGAAUUUGAUUUCCAAUAUGGAUACGAAUGGUGAAAGCAUGGCCUAUCAAUCCUUUAGAGCUUUGAAAUAUAAUGUUAGAGGUGCUAGAAAAGUUACCACAAGGAUAAUUGGCUUGUGGUAGACAAGCAUUUAUAACGACAUUGCUUUUUGAUCCUUUGAUGUUGGCUCUUCCUAUCAUUAUGAAGCAGAAUUCACAAGUGUUGGAUUGGUCACCCAUCAAUAUAGACCAAAAGCUGGGUUUAAACUAUCAUGAGAUAGGUUAGUUUUACCCUACUAAUGGUAGCAUUACAAUAGUAAUUCAACCUAGUAUAAGAGAAAUCAUUGAUUCACACAAUUGGUCAUCGCAUUUGGUUGAAAAGCUAGUGGUGCGAAGCAACCAUGCACCGAAUUAUGAUUGAAAGCCUCCAAGUCAGAAUCAAGGCUAGAAAUGAUGUAUCCACAUAUCACAUGAUUGCCAACCUGUAGUAAGGGCCUAUAGUCCUCAAGAGAACAUGUCAUAGGUGCAACCCUUGUGGUAGACAAGCCAUGCAGGCUUCCUUAGAGCUCAAUUCCCAUCAACCGAUAGGUAGAAUC
rnacentral:rRNA from 1 species